UGGCCUACGGGAGGCAGCAGUGGGGAAUAUUGGACAAUGGGCGAAAGCCUGAUCCAGCAAUGCCGCGUGAGUGAUGAAGGCCUUAGGGUUGUAAAGCUCUUUUACCAGGGAUGAUAAUGACAGUACCUGGAGAAUAAGCUCCGGCUAACUCCGUGCCAGCAGCCGCGGUAAUACGGAGGGAGCUAGCGUUGUUCGGAAUUACUGGGCGUAAAGCGCACGUAGGCGGCUACUCAAGUCAGAGGUGAAAGCCCGGGGCUCAACCCCGGAACUGCCUUUGAAACUAGGUAGCUAGAAUCUUGGAGAGGUCAGUGGAAUUCCGAGUGUAGAGGUGAAAUUCGUAGAUAUUCGGAAGAACACCAGUGGCGAAGGCGACUGACUGGACAAGUAUUGACGCUGAGGUGCGAAAGCGUGGGGAGCAAACAGGAUUAGAUACCCUAGUAGUC
rnacentral:rRNA from 1 species